UACGUAGGGGGCAAGCGUUGUCCGGAAUCAUUGGGCGUAAAGCGCGUGUAGGCGGUCCGGUAAGUCCGCUGUGAAAGUCGGGGGCUCAACCCUCGGAUGCCGGUGGAUACUGUCUGGCUAGAGUCCGGAAGGGGCGAGUGGAAUUCCUGGUGUAGCGGUGAAAUGCGCAGAUAUCAGGAGGAACACCAAUGGCGAAGGCAGCUCGCUGGGACGUAACUGACGCUGAGACGCGAAA
rnacentral:rRNA from 1 species